GAACUUCCUAAUGCCACAGGUGCAAGAAGAAGGGAAAGAAAGAUUCUUUCUUCACGUCAGUCAUCAUGGAACAUGGGGUAGAGUUCUCUGGCUCCACAGUAGGGUCCGCUGGCCAGUCGUCCAUAUACCUCGGUGCCCGUACGCCCGUCUCUGUUAGGAUGAUCUUCUACAGGACACUUCGAAAAGGAACCGGCCUUCCUAAGUCGCAACUUCCCCAGGACCUGAAGCCAAGGCCUCAGACAGCCUUCAAACAGGUGAGAACCACAUCAGACUCCCAGGUACACAGACCUCAAGCAGGAGAAGAAGCGUGCUGUGACUUUAUGAAGUUGUCGGGAACUAAUGCCAUAACUCAAAUUCAGGCUUUUCUUAUUUAAGCUUUUCAAGUGGAAUUGACAUCCUUGUAGUUGUGGUUCCUUAUUGGAUUUAAAUUUAAUAGUGCUUUGGGGGGCGGGGGGCAUGGCAUGGAACCCGAUAUACUCUACUGCCGUGAAAGCAGGUCUGUGGUCUGUAUUUCUUGGUCCGAGGGUGCGCGGCAGAAAAGCCCUGAUCAGCGCAUCCAUGUUUAGGACAAUAAAUGCAUUGUGAUGAUUCUGCUUCUUAGACGAAGGCAGAUUAUUUUGCUAAUUGUCUGGCCCCAAGGAUCACCUGAUGCUAAUCAUCUGACACAGGACCCCUGGCAGCUCUCAGCCUUGCCGUAGGGUGAUGGAACCAGGGUUGGAGCCCGGCUUUCUCCUUCCCCCGGCCCCACACUGGUGUGUGGUUUGGGGUUGCUUUUAUGAGAGAGAUUUUCUUUCAGGAAAAUA